UACGUAGGGGGCGAGCGUUGUCCGGAGUUACUGGGCGUAAAGGGCGUGCAGGCGGUGCAGCAAGUUUGGAGUGACAGUUCCCGGCUUAACUGGGGAAGGCCUCUGAAAACUGCUGGACUUGAGGGCCAGAGAGGGACAUAGAAUUCCGGGUGGAGUGGUGAAAUGCGUAGAUAUCCGGAGGAAUACCAAAGGCGAAGGCAGUGUCCUGGCUGGCAUCUGACGCUGAGGCGCGAAAGCUAGGGGAGCGAACAGG
rnacentral:misc_RNA from 1 species